AUUGAACGCUGGCGGCAGGCCUAACACAUGCAAGUCGAGCGAGCGGCGGACGGGUGAGUAAUGUAUGGGGACUGCCUGAUCGAGGGGGAUAACUACUGGAAACGGUGGCUAAUACCGCAUACUAUCGGAUAACCCAUAUGGGAUUAGCUAGUCGGUGGGGUAAAGGCUCACCUAGGCGACGAUCCCUAGCUGGUCUGAGAGGAUGAUCGGCCACACUGGGACUGAGAAACGGCCCAGACUCCUACGGAGGCAGCAGUGGGGAAUAUUGGACAAUGGGCGAAAGCCUGACGCAGCAAUGCCGCGUGUAUGAAGAAGGCCUUCGGGUUGUAAAGUACUUUCAGCGGGGAGGCGUUACCCGCAGAGAAAGCACCGGCUAACUCCGUGCCAGCAGCCGCGGUAAUAC
rnacentral:rRNA from 1 species